rnacentral:rRNA from 1 species
UACGAAGGGGGCUAGCGUUGCUCGGAAUUACUGGGCGUAAAGCGCACGUAGGCGGCUUUCUAAGUCGGGGGUGAAAACCUGGAGCUCAACUCCAGAACUGCCUUCGAUACUGGAAAGCUCGAGUCCGGGAGAGGUGAGUGGAACUGCGAGUGUAGAGGUGAAAUUCGUAGAUAUUCGCAAGAACACCAGUGGCGAAGGCGGCUCACUGGCCCGGUACUGACGCUGAGGUGCGAAAGCGUGGGGAGCAAACAGG